UGGUGGAGUGAUUUGUCUGGUUAAUUCCGUUAACGAACGAGACCUCGACCUGCUAAAUAGUUUGGCGAACUCUUCGGGUUUGACUAUAACUUCUUAGAGGGACUAUCGGUGGUUAGCCGACGGAAGUUCGAGGCAAUAACA
rnacentral:rRNA from 1 species